rnacentral:lncRNA from 1 species
UGGAAGGAGACCCUCAUUGUUACACAAAAUUACAUAUAAGAGGUUGUGAGGGGAAUGGGGAAAAAACAAGGAGGGAAAUGAAUUGUAGUAGAUGGGGUAGAGAGAGAAGAUGGGAGGGGAGGGGAGGGGGGAUAAUAGAGGAUAGGAAAGGUAGCAGAAUACAGCAGUCACUAAUAUGGCAUCAUGUAAAAAUGUGGACGUGUAACCUGUGUGAUUCUGCAAUCUGUAUUUGGGGAAAAAAUAGGAGUUCAUAACCCACUUGAAUCUAAUGUAUGAAAUAUGAUAUGUCAAGAGCUUUGUAAUGUUUUGAACAACCAAUAAAAAAAUAAAGAAAACUACAAACAAACAAAAAAAAAAAAAAAGAAUAUUCCACCCAAAUAAGGCAAGGGCUCAGGUUUCAGAGGGUGAAGUCUUGAUUGGUGAUGUGUUGGUCAGCAGUUUGACAUCUUGGAAAACCACACCCAUCUCAGGUUCUGUGUGGCACCUGAGAGAGAGAGUGAAAAGACACACAUACAUUGCAGAGCCCAAUGAAGCAGCAAUUUCAGACCAGUUUUCCUCAUAUACUCCAAUGUGCAUAGCUCACACACACAGCCCAUGGAUGGCUGGUGACAUCCUACGAAUUAAUUUACUAUUCUAAAAGCCAAAAUUCUGGGUUUCAUUUGGUCUGAGGCUCUCUACAGUGCCACUCCAGUUUUUUGUUUGUUUGUUUGUUUGUUUGUUUGUUUUCACAGCUGCUCUUUUUCAACCAGAAAGCACACAUGACCCAAUAUGACUGAAGCUCUGAAAAAUGGCCAGGAAGUUCUGUACAUUUUUGUGCUGUCAUCUUUCUUCAUUGGUGUACUUUUUAGUUCUCACUCAGAAGAACAUGUUGUUUACCCAGAUUCUGUGUGCCGCUUUCUAACAGCAUGAUAGAAAUAUUUCUUCACCUUACUUUGUAAUUUUAUUAAACUGGAUUUCCUCUCAGUGAAACAAUUACUAAAAGCUCUUUAGAUCCUGUGAGACUAUGAUGACCAAAUGAGGCAAGUCCAACAAGGUUUUGUUCCUGUACAACAUCAUAUAAUCCAACUCUCUUAUCACACCAAGACUCAUAUUUUAAUACUAAAGAAUUCUAUGAGUCUAUUUUUUUAAAACAUGUAAUGAAACAUAAUAUUAAUUAUAUUUCUCAAAAAUGUUUAAUUAAGUAUUUAAUGCAUUCUCAUCAUGUGGGGUUGUGAUGUGUGGUUGGUUACACUCUUAGAGUACAGGAAUUUUUGUUAUUGUAUUGUCAGGGAAUGCCUUUUCUAUGAUAUCUGUCCUGCUUUAACCAAAUUAGGAGCCAUUGGAAGAUAAGAGUUCAGUUUCUUCUGGAGCACAAAUGCUAGGUUGCCCUAUGGAAAUUAUAACUGUUCAGUCUGUAGCCAUCUACAUUUUAGUUUGCUACUUUCAAUACCAAAAUUUGGGUGAUGUCUAAAACAGUGAUAAUAAAUUCUUCAUGCAGCUCAUUGGGGUCCUUUAUUUGCCAGGUAUUUUCUGAGGGUCAUCCACAGAUGUGCAUUUCUCACUCAUCUGGAAAGAAACUCAUAAACCAAAAGAGAAAGCAGAUGAACAUGUCCAUCAUAAGAACUACAAACUUUACACAGUUCUUUGGGCAGAAUAUUGAUUUCUAACAUGAGUGCUGAUAUAUUCUAAUAUUUGUAGAAAUGAACCUAGUAAACAGGGAAUAAUGAAAAAGCAAGAAAGAUAAGGAGUUGUCUAUCUUAAGACCAAAGUCUGGCAGCAGGUUAUAGUGGGAGUGUCCCUCUUUGUUACUAUACAAGACAUGCAUAGACCACAGGGGUGUUGGAAAACUUGAAUUUUUAUGUUGGAAAGAAUACUGUUCUUCACAUUCUACCUGAUUUCUAUUCAUUUCUCAGUGUAUUCUCAUUUUCUUCAGGGAAUCUUUUCUGUAGAUCAGAUUCCUCUAUUAGAUCACAAACCUCUUUUCUAAUAUCAUCUGUCUGAAAUUAUAAUGAUCUUUUUAUGUGUCUUCUCCAUUAGUCGUUAAGCUAAAGAACACAAGGGAUCUCAUCUCAUCUGCUAUAUGUGCAGAGUACAGCAUAUUGUGUCACAUGUUUUAUGCACUCAUUGGUUUAGUGUAUAAAUAAUGCAUGUGAAAUAUACAGCAUUCAUAUAUGUAAAUUAGUCACAUAUUUUACUUCUAUAUUCUUUUAUUUCUGACAGAUUCUGUUAGCCUGUUGAAAACCCAGAAAGCAGUUUCUUCACUUCAAAGAGUAAUAAAUCACCAAAAACGUCAUUGCACACAGUGUUUAACAAUGUUAAAAAAAAAAAAAAUCACAACUGGAAAAUGAGAUUUGUGAGCUUAAAAAGAGGGUAUCAGAGUUUAAGCAAGAAAUAUACAAUUGAAACAACAACUCCAUGAUUUGAGGUAUUAUAUCCUAGAUUGAAAGAAUAGAUGAAUCCUUUCCUUUAUUCUAGUAGAAAUAAGAAGGAGAUUUUUUUUAACAGCUGACUUAUCUGUUAGCACUUUGCAAGGGAGAAAACUUGAAUAAAUUAUAAAAUUCUUACAAAUAUGAUAGUAUAUUAUUAAAUGUGAUUACUUCUAAAAACUAAGUGAACAUUUUUCCCCAUCACAUUUUUAAUGGCUCUAUGGAACCCCAUCUGCUAGAAUUCUAUUUAUUUAAGCAACAGAAUUUUGGAUUGUUAUUUCUUUAUAUUUUUAAAUUUUAUUACAAUUAAUGUUUCAAGAAAUAUAAUUUAGAAAAAAAUCAUUUUCUACUCAGAUACCAUGGCAUCUACCUAUAAUUCCAGCAGCUUGGGAGACAGAGACAGAGGAUCAAAAGUUCAAAUCAAGCCUCAUCAACAUAGCAAACUAGUGAGAUGCUGUUUCCAAAUUUAAAAAAAAAGAAAAAGGCCUUGGGAUCUAGCUAAGUGAUUUAGCUUCUCUGGGUUCAAUCCCUGGUACCAAAGAUUGGGGUGAGAACAAAAGAAAAGAAAAAAAUAAUAAUUUUCUAUAUUUCUGUUAACUUUGAAAAAUUUUCAAUAUAGAGUUAUUUGGUUAAAGUUGGAAAACUUUAAAAAGAUUUCAGGAUUAUAAUGUUGCUCUCAAGAAGUUUGUAUUCCACCAAUGAGGCAUUUUUCACUGCCCUGAAACAUGCUUCUAUACAUUUACAGUUUUUAUUCUGAUGUUUAUGAUCAAAUCCAGGGUUUUAUGAGACUAAAGUGAUGUGUUAGUGCUGAGCUAGACCCUCAGCUACACUUUUAACAAUGACAUUCAUUAAAAAAUGAAAUGGAAACUGAUUAUAAAUUAUUUUAUUCAAAUUCACUCUCCUCAGAAAUUAAAUUUGUUCAGAUUUCUAUAUUGAAAGGACACAUACUUUUUUAUGUUUUUUAGGUAUACAUGACAGUAGACUAUAUGUUGAUAUAAAUUUAUUUUUGUUAUGGAUAAUAUACCAUUGUGUGUUUGUGUGUGUGUGUGGUGUACAUAUAUAUAAAUAUAUAACAUUUUCUUUAUCCAUUCAUCUGUUGAAGGACAUUAUUCUUCAUUAUUGGAUUAAAUACUAGGUCCUUUUUGUUCAAAAGUGAAUUUUAAUUUAUUUGUAAAAUAUAUAAUGAUCAAUGAGGAAAUUUGAAAGUGUUACCAUAAAAGAAACAUAAAAAGUGUAAUAAUAAGUAUUGGAUUUCUUAUCCCAGUUUGGGGUUAUAGUAAUACAAAAGAUACAUUUUUUAUAUCUUUAUUUUAUUUAUAUGUGAUGCUAAGGAUUAAACCCAGCACCUCACCCAUGCUAGGCAACCACUGCAUCGCUGAGCUACAGCCCCAGCCCCAAAAGAUACUUAUUGAAAGAAGAAUAUCUGAAUAUGCUAUUACACUGUAAGCAAGUUGUAGGUAUACCUGACAUAUUAUAUGAAGAUAAAUCAUAUUACUUCUGAAUUCAUAGGUUUGUACACAAACAAUAAGUCUUUAAAGCUUAUUUAGCUUGAAAUUAUCUUUUUAACUGGGGAGGAUCUAUGAUAGUGCAAAAAUAAUCACCUUUAACUUGUCAAUUUACCAAAUAAUUUCAAAAUUCCUUUUGUGUAGUAUCUACUUUCAAUUAUGUAUGUUUUAGACAAGACUAAAGGAGAAACUAAAAAUGUUAAACUGGAAAAUCUUCAGAGAACAUAGAAUUUUUAUUAGGAUACUAAAUCAGCAUACAAAGAUCCAGAAAAUAAAAAAGAAAUUUUUGUUUUCUGGCAAAACUCAAUUAAAUGUAACCAUAUUUAACUUCAGAUAUACCUUAAAAGAAGAGGCAAAGAGAAAAAAUGAUGAUAUGCUACAUGAAAAAAAUAAGAACCCAUUAAAAGAAACAGAAUAUAACAAAGAGGAUCAAGUGAGAAAGCAAGCUGAAAUCUCUGUACAAUAGAUACAGAAUUGGAGACUGCAAGAAAUCAUUUUAAUCAGGUAAAUGAACCUUCAGUAAAGUUUCAAGUUUUUACUUUAUUUCAUCUGCGUUAUUUAUAAGGUUACUUUAACUUACUGUAUGUGGCCAUGUUUCACUUAAUGAUGGCAAUAUGGUCUGAGGAAUGUGCUGUUUGGCAAUUUCACCAACAUGCAGUCAUCGUGUGUGUACAUCCACACACUUCAGACAUCUCCCACAAUGCCAGGAAAUACAGACUUACAGGACCUCCACUUCCAUGAAUUCUGCUGUUUCUCAAAUCUUUGGUAUGUGGGGUGUGAACUACUAUUUUGAUUUAAAACAUAAUAUUAUCUGACUCAAAAAUUAAAUUAUGACAUUUAUGACAAAACUAGUUACAGCAAAAUUAGCAUCUGGUAGAUGUUCAGCAUAUGUUUCCUAAAUGAAGAUGUUUAGUUUAAUAACUAACAUAAAUACCAAUUUAGGGGUUUUUAUGUUAAGAUACAGACUAAAUAGCUCUGCAACUAGUUAAAACAUUUUUUAAAAGUGUUUCACAAUUACAUUUCUGCCUGUAUUUAAGAAAUGUUUUCAUUCACCCAAAUUUAUCAGUCAUUUGUGCAGUUGAAAUAUAAGACACUGACUCAUAAACAAUAAAUCUACCUUUUAGUAUUAUUUUUUAAUCUUGAAGGUACCAUUCUACAAUUAAGCUUUUGGACUUCUAUCACCUGCUGAUAUACAGCCAAUAUCUUGCUGAAAUAAAUUUGUAGAUUUUAGCAGAACAAAAUGAAACCUAUAGACAAUUUCCAUGAGACCAGAAUUCCAGAAUUUAUAAUAUGAAAUUUCAGUAAUACAUAUUUACAAACAAAAAGGGUUAGACAUAUGCAGAAAGAAAAUGUUUCCUGAGAUAUUUUCUUCUGUUUUCAAAUGAGUGAGUGUGUGUGUGUGUGUGUGUGUGUGUAACAUACUUAAACAGUAACAAUUAAAUCAUGGAAAAGUAUAGAGGGAUUUAAAUCCAUAAAUUUAUAACUAGAAUGCACAUAUGUUAGAGGUGAGGGUGGCAUUUUUUGUCCCAUUGAAUUAAAUAAUGUUCUUAAUUCAACUCUUAUUUCUCUGCAGCAAUUCCAUGAUGACUUUCAGAGUAGCCUUAUAAAGAGAAAAGAAUUUUCAUAUUUUCCACAGGAAUAGAUGAGUUUUCUAUGAUCUCAAAACCCUUGCUUCUAAUAGUAGAUCUUCUAGUUUGGGGAAGUGACAUCACUCUCUUAUUGUGUUAAUAUGCAUUACUACUCCCACUGUUAAGUAAGGAGGAAAAGUGGGGCCAGUAAAUACCCUGGAUUUGUGUAUAAUUUUUCUCACUUUUGAGAAGAGAAAAAAAAAAAAAAACACUUUGCUCCAAGUAAUCUCCUACUUCAGCACAAAACACCUUUGGAAACAAUGGCAUACCAUAAUAUGUUCUUAGAAAUAAAUUACUGGUAAAUAUUUGUUCCUAAUAUAUAAGAUUCAUUUAUUUGCCUUAUUUCAUAUAGAUUCAUCUUUCAAAAUUCACUGAGAUGAAACAAAUGCUACUGUGUAGCAAUCUUGGGAUUUUCUGAGUAGAGCCUUACACAUUUUGCCUUAUUUGUCAUUUUUAUUUUGAAACACAGGGUUUCUUUGGCGUUUAUCCAUUCACAGGACAGAAAUAACUGACUUUGUGGAUUAGCAUUAGAAGCAGAGGCAAAAGACUUGGAGAAAUUGUGCAACUUGCCUAUGUUUUUAGCCUUAUGCUCCUUUUCAUAAUUGUGAUACACUGUUCAUUGAUGUACAUAAUGUGAUUAAUGCUGUUCCUACAUUUAUCAUUUAUCAAUAGAUGCAAUUUUUAUUCCCAGCUACAAAAUGUUAGAAAAGAAAAUAUGCUAGGAAUAUUUUUAGGAAAAGACCUUGGGGAACUUUUGUAUGUCUUGGUAGAUGUAGAGCUAAGGCUUUUACUAUGGGCUGGUUGAAUACAUAAAGUGUCAGAUGGUGAACUUAUUUUUCUUAAAUUUAAAUGUUCUUUUAUUUGCCACUGAAGCCAUCCCAACAGAUAGGUCCAUAAUAAAAUAUUUGAGAUUUUUAACUGUUUAACGUGUAGAUCAUAUGAUCCUAAAAGUGGAUCAAUGUGAGAAAUAGUGAAUUAUUAUUUUUAUUGACUUUUUUAAGGUAUACAUUACAGUAGAGCUGGUUUUUUAUAGUAUAUAACUUCUUCUAUUUAGGAUCCCAUUCCUGUGGUUGAGAAUGUUGCAGAAUUUUGCUGGUCAUGUAUUCAUAUGUGAACAUAGGGAUGUGAUGUCAGAUUCAUUGUACUGUCUUUCCCCUCCCUUCUCAGCCCUUUAUUCCCUUUUGUCUAAUCCAACAAACUUCUAUUCUUUCCUCCCCCACCCUUAGGUGUGUUAUCAUCCACAUAUUAAGGAGAAUAUUCAGACUUUGGAUUUGGAAAACUGGCUUAUUUCACUUGACAUGAUACUCUCCAGUUCCAUCGAUUUACCAACAAAUGUCAUAAUUUCAUUCUUCAUGGCUGAGUCCAUUGUUUAUAUAUGAAACAUUUUCUUUAUCCACUCAUAUGUUGAAAGGCACCUAGGUGGGUUCCACAGCUUAUCUUUUGUGAACAGCUGCUAUAAAUAUUUAUGUGGCUGUGUCACUAUAGUAUCAUUUGAGUAUAUACUGAGGAGCAGAAUAACUGGGUCAAAUGCUCAUUCCAUUCUAUACUGCUUUCCUGAGUGAUUGCUUGGUGCAAUGUAUGAGUGAGUCUUUUCCCCACAUUCUCACCAACAUUUAUUGUGACUUGCAUUCUUUAUAUUUAUCAUUUUAAGUAGUGCAUUUUUCUAAUUGCUAAAGAUGUUGAACAUUUUAUUUUCAUAUAUUUUUGAACUGUUUGCACAUCUUCUUCUUUGAAGUGCCUGCUCAGUUCUUUUGUUCAUUUAUUGAUUUGGUUAUUUGUUUGUUUGUUUUGUGUGUGGGAGGGUGUUUCUGUGUGUAUGAUAUAUUUUUGAGUUGUUUAUAUAUUCUGGAGAUUAAUGCUCUAUCUGAGGUGUCAAUAACAAAGAUUUUCUCCCACUCUGUAGGCUGUCUACUCACAUUCUUGAUGGUUCCCUUUGUUGUAAAGAUACCAUCUCAUUUAUUGAUUCUUUAUUGUACUUCUUGUGCCUUAAGAGUCUUUUUGAGGAAUUCAGAUCCUGCAUGAACAUGAUGGAGUGCUCGGCCUGUCUUGUCUUGUAAUAGGCCUAGGAUCUUUUUUUCUAAUGUCUAGGUCCUUGAUCCACUUUGUGUUGAGUUUUGCAUGGGGUUAGAAAUAGGGGUUAAAUUUCUCCUACUACAUAUGGGUUUUCUGUUUUCCCAGAACCAUUAGUUGAAGAACCUAUCCUUUUCCCAAUACAUGUUUUAUAGUGUGUUUGCCUAGUACUAGAUAACUGUAUAUAUGUGGGUUUUCUCUGUGACUUCUCUUCUGUUUCUGUAAUUUUUUUUUUACAUUGGAAAACUAACUAAUCACUUAAUCUAUUCUUUCAUUCUGGUGUAAUGAAGAUUUUUCAAUCCUUAAUACUUUUUUAUAAUCAGGAAUUGAAUGAGGGUGCUCAACAACUGAGAUGCAUUUCCAGCCAUUUAUUUAUUUAUUUAUUUAUGAAUGAUUCAGGGUAUCACUGAAUUGCUGAAGACUUGCUUUGAACCUGUGAUCCUCCUGCCUCAGUCUCCUGAGACACUGUAAUUACAGGCAUAUGCCUCUGGACCCGUCAGUUCUUACAUCCUUUAAGUUGUAACUUUCUUUUACUCUCAUAGAUCCAUUUUCUUGAAUUAACUUUUGAACUCUUGGGAAUUUAUAUUUCUAUAGGCUCAGAAGUUUACAUCUAACUUUUAUUCAGUGGGCUAUCUAUUUAUUGAAACCCUUUCAACAUAUAAAUGUGCAGGUUAUUCUUUAAUUUCAGUGAAAAAUAUGAAAUAACAUUUUAUUAAAUGCUAGCUAAAUGUUUCCUUGGUUUUAUUUAGGUUUCUACUAGUGAUGGGACAGAGAACAAUCUAUUGCAUCAAUAUUACAGGAAUAAGGAUGAAAUCUCCAUGAAGAGACGGGGAAUGGACACAAUAAAUUAUCAGAACCUGGAAAAUAAGUGCUUUGAGAAUCCUGAAAUUUUAACAGAAAAGAAGAGCAGUCUUCCAUGGACACAAGAAUUGAAUGAGGAAACCCUUAGGAAAAUAUUCCAGGACAAAAAACAGUUGGAUAUUUGGAAAUCUCAGAGUACACUGGAGAGUGGAAAUACCAGAAACAAAGUCAAAUCCCACCCUACCAGACCUGGUACUGAUCCACACCAUCAUGGUGAAAGUCCAACACCAAAAAGAAAUCUAGAACUUGCUUUUCAGAAAGCAAGAGAUAAAGACGUUAGUUCACAGGAAGAAAAUAAUACUAAUAUAUCUAUCCUAAAAGUUAUUUGUGGGAUUUCUUCCCAACAGGUUCCAAAGUCUGAAAAAAAAAUGACUUAGAAAACAAGCUGUGUCAGACAAGAGGUACUCUGAGAGUAAUGACUUUGGCUACAGAACAGGUAAACAGACACUUAAAACAAAGACAGCGCCAACUGAAGGUAAUGGAACAUGGGUAUCAAAAUGAACAAAGAAAAAGGGAUGAACGCCUCAGAAAGCAGGAAGCUUCUAGAGAGAAGUUACCUAAACUUCAAAGUGAAACUACAUUUUGUGAAGAGCAAUUGCAUGACUAUAAGAACAGAGGUGACAAUAAAAAGAUGGAGUUAUUAAUAUCCAAACCCAAAUUUAUUAUGUUAUUAAAAAAAAAAAACUUCAAGCUCGGAAUGACAGACAUCAUCUCAUGCUGGAAAACAAAUAUUUGGAAUUAAUCAAUAAAACCAAUCAUUUUAAAAAACAACCGGAUCAAUAUGGAAAGGAGAAAGCAGAAGAAGUAAGUAUCAAGCAAGUUAACUGUAUAAAGAGUCUUUGAAGGAAUACUCAGAGUGAUACCUGAUUAUGGCUAAAUGUUGAAUCUUGAUGAAUAUAAAAGCAUAGAUAUUAUAACUGUCUUUUCUAUAUCCAACAGUACAACCUGUUUUCCAGCAAAUAUAAUUUAGGCAUCAUUCACAGCACAACCAAUCUGUGUUUGAAGUGCUAAGUCUUCCAAUUUCCCUACUCUGAUUCUUACACACUGUGUACAUAUUUUAAAAUAUCUAUAGGUACUCAUAUACCAACUAAACACAAAAGACUUAGAUCAAAUGGAAUUUAAUAUUUAAAAAUGAGGAAAUUUUUGAAACUUGGUCCUGACAGAUCCCUCAAUUUAAGAAAUUAUGUUUCUUAUAAAGAUUUAAGAGAUUGAGUUACAGAUUUUUUGUAGAUGUAUAUGCUGACAUUAGUAAUAUGGUAUCAAUAAUGUUCAAACAAUAUUUAAUUUUGGUGCUGUUAAUUCAACCCAAAGUUUACACAUAUUCUACCAAUGAGCUACAUUCCAUCACUGAAUAACAAUUUUAAUGUGUUCUCGUUGCCGUACUUUAAGAUCACAAUGAAACAGAUAAUGGAAAUGCUCAUACCUAGUUUCAAUUAAAUUAGUUACUUUGACAGUUCAUUCCAGAUUUCCCAGUUGAACUGAAAUGUAGAUUCUGUAUUUUGUAAUAGACUUUCUUCGCUAUUUUUAGAUAUUUCUAAUUGGUAAAUUUAUUUUUAGUCAUUUCAACUCAACUUAAAUCUGAAAAUAACUGUCCUGAUAUUUUUUGUUUUCAUUCAUGACUUGUCCACCUCUUUAAAAGCAUCUAUAUGUCAUUGUUGUAAAUUGGGACUAGUGUGAUGAAUUGCAGCAAACGCAAAUUUUUUUCAUCUGUAAUUUAUUGCAUAUAUCCAUGAUAACUUGCUAAUCGUUUUCUUCAUUUCAUGGCCCAUUUCCUAUUCUGAAAGUUAUAUAGUUUCUUUAAGUACAAAGGUAAUUGUAGCCAUCUAAAUUUCAUUAAUUUGGCACUGAACCCCCAUGUCCAGACUAAUGAGGGUGCCAUGGCUUAUGUACAGCAGGAGUGGUGUGAGUACCAGUGAGACUUCUAAGAGAUAUGGACAGGCAGUGAGGUGGAAACUAGGUUACCUAGGGUCUUCUUUAUUCUUUGUGAAAAUAUAUUGGAAUUAUUGUAGCAAAUGUAUGUAUAUUGGAAUUAUUUUAGCAAAGUUUAAAGAUGUGAGGAUGUGGGGUAUUAAUUUGAGCUUCUAAUAAGAGAGGGAUAAUAACCUCUGUAGAAUUCACCACCACCAAUGAGACCUGUGUAACCAUUUCUGAUUGAGAAUUCAGUAGGUUGUUAAACAUUGCAACUUUAUCAAGGGCAGUAUGUAGAGAUACAGGGCUUGACCCUGUUAUCUAAGGAAUGUGAUAGUUUUUAGGCAGGAGUACACAACCUUCUGUUUCCCUAAGGGAAUUCAGAAAUAAACAGGAGUGUACACACAUAUAAAAAUAAGAGAAUAAACUGAUGUAUGUAGUGAUAUUUUUUUCAGAGUAAACAUAAUUAUAAAAUGUUAUUAAUAUACUUUUAAAGUGAGCUGAGUAACAAAAUCGUUAACAGAAAUAUCAGGUAGUUGUGAGACUGGUAACAUGAAAUUACCAUUUGUUUCAGAGUUUUCACUAAAAGAUUUACCACAUUUUCACAUAAAUUUAAAAGAUAAAGACAGGAUUUAAUGAAGACACUAAGACAAAUGACAAGUAUGUCUAAAAUUGAACAUGUCAACUGUAAAUCUACAUCUACUUAAGUAACAAAAAAUGUUCUGAGAUAGUAAUUUCAAUGAACAGCUUUCUUUAUAUUUUCAUUAUAAUUGAUUUUAUUAUAUAUGGGGAUCUUUAUACUGCAUUUAUUUCUUACACUUAAAAUUGUAUUUUGGAAUUUUUCUCUUACAAACUCAUGCAUCUCUUAUUAAAAUAUCUAGUCUGAGGAAAGCUGAGACUUUUUUCUAUAAACCAGAAGCUUUUAAUGCUAUCUCUACUUUCAUGUUACAAUAAGAAAAAUUAAAUCAGAGGUACUAUUUAAUAGAAUGUUUCAGAAAAUUUUGUUACUUUUACUUUAAUUUUUGUGCAUCUAUACAGAAUCUGCAGAUAUUGAUGAAUUAAUAUUUUUUUUAAAAAAAAUGUGUACAAAAAGGUUUUUAUGCAUUUCUCAAAAUACAGGUAUGUUUUAGGUUAUUGUUUAAUUAUUGAAAAACUUGGGCUGUUUCUUUUUGUUUUAUUUUAGAUACAUUAUGAAAGCAUAUAAAUAUUUGUAUUAUUUCUGGACUGAUAUCCAAACUAAUAAAUAAAAAAUGUUAGCUAAGUUUUUUUUUCAGUAGAUGUCUUAAAAGGCAUUUUUAUGAUAUAUGUAAUGCACAUCCAAUUCACCCAUUUAACAUGUAAAAUUCAGUGUCUCUUAGUUCAUUAACAGAGAUAUAUAACCAUUUAAAUAGUUAAUUUUUAGAACGUUUUCAUGUUUUGAAAAGAAACCUGGAACCUCUUAGCUGUCAGUUUUUUAGUCCCUACACUUUCAAAGUCCUAGAAAACCACCAAUAUAUUUUUUAGUUAUUUAUAAAUGUAAACAAUAGUAAUUUACUCAUUUAUUUAUUUUUAUUUUUACAUAUACAUGUCAGUACACUGUAUUUUCACAUUUAAAUGCAUGGAAUAUAACUUCACAUUAUUUUAUUUAUACAUAAUGUAGAGUUACACUGGUCACGUAGUCGUGUCAUAUUUAUUCUACUGUUUUUUCUGUUUUCAUUCUCACUCCCAUCCCUUUUGUCUAAUCCAAUGUAAUUCUAUUCUUUUCUCCCCCAUUCCUUACUGUGUGUUCGCAUCCACUUAUGAGAGAGAACUUCCAGCCUUUAGAUUUGGGGGAUUGGCUUAUUUCACUUAGCAUGUUAAUCUCCAUUUCUAUCCAUUUAUUGGCAAAUGCCAUAAUUUCAUUCUUUCUCACAGCUGAGUAAUAUUCCAUUGUGUGUAUAUGACACAUUUUAAAUAAUCUAUUCUUCUAUUGAAGGACACCUCCUUUGGUUUCAUAGCUCAACUAUUGUGAUUUGAGCUGCUACAGACAUUGUUGUGGCUGCAUCCCUGUAGUAUGAUGAUUUUAAGGAUUUUUUUGUGUAAACCAAGGAGUUAGAUUAGUGGGUCAAACGGUGGCUACAUUCCAAGAUUGCUGAGGACUCUCCAUACAGCUUUCCAGAGUGAUUGCCCCAAUUUGCAGUCCCACCAGGAAUGUGUAAGUGAACAUUUUCCCCACACUGCUGUGAACAUUUAUCAUUACUUGUAUUCUUCUAAAUUGCCAUUCUGACCCAAGUGAGAUGCAAUCUCAGUGUAGCAUUUAUGUUUCUCUAAUUGAUAGAGAUGUUCAAUUUUUUUUCAUAUAUCUGUUGACCAUUUGCAUAUGUUCUUCUGUAAAGUGCUUUUUCAGUUCCUUUGCCCAUUUAUUGAUUAGGUUAUUUGGGUUUUGCUGUUGCUGUUGUUCUUUUGGUGUUAAAUAAUUUGAAUUAUUUGUAUAUUUUGGAGAUUAAUGUUCAAUCUGAGGUGCACAUGGCAAAGACUUUCUCACAUUCUGUAGGCUCUCUGCUCAUAUACUUGAUGGUUUCCUUUGCUGUGAAAAUUUUUUUAGUUUGAUACCAACCCAUUUAUUGAUCCUUUUAAAAAUUAUUUGUAUAUAGACAGCAGUAACUUUAUUUUUUAUGUGGUGCUGAGGAUCAAACCCAAUGCCUCACAUGGAAGGCAAGCACUCUACAACUGAGCUACAGUUUCAGAACCUUGUUGAUUCUUUUAAAAAUAUUUUUAUUUGUAGUUUGACACAGUAUCUUUAUUUAUUCAUAUAUGGUGCUGAGGAUCAAACCCAGAGCUUCACACAUGCUAGGCAAGCACUCUACCACUGAACUAUCAGCCCCCAUUUACUGAUUGUUUAUAUUACUUCUUGCUUUUUGGGAAUUUUGUUGAGGAAAUUGGCUUAUAGUUCCAACUCUAAAAUUACUCUGUAAUGGAUAUUUUAUACAAGUAGAUUUAUACAACAGUAAGUCUUUUUUUAAACCAGUUUCUUUGACUUACAAAACUGUUUUCAGGGAUCCUUAUAGAAUUCUGUUUUAUGACUAUGUCACUUAUCCAGUCAUCAGUUGGUGAACUUUAAAAUGCUUCCACCUCUUGGCUACACUAGUAGUACAUGGCUGGGAACUAAUGUUUGGACAUGUUUUAAUUAUCAUGCCUCUUGGUGUUGUCUUCAUGAAUUGUGCUGAUUGUACCAUAUCUCUGUCAUACUCAUGUUGUGCUUUAUUUAUUGUCUGUUUUUAUUGAUUUUUUCUCUUUUGCUCAGAGCUCACAUAAAAAUAAAUUUUUCUUUUUCAUGCACUUUUUCUGACUUUUCUUUCACCAACAGUAUUUGCAUGGUGAUUACCUUAUUGAGCAAUAAAUUCACUCAAGGUUAGAGUACUAUCUAAUGUUCUCACCUAUUCUAGAAUGAAUGGAAAACAUUACUGACCAAUAUUUUUUAAAAAAAAAUUAUUAUUUGAUAUCAACCAAUAAUUUUUGUUAAUAGAUUGACCUGUCAAGACUUUUAUUCUAUUUCAGUGAUAAAACAUAAAAUUAAAUUAACUUAAUCCAAUAGUGAAUUCAUCUGUAGAAUGUUCAUACUUUUGUUAGUAUUGGAAAAAAACCUUCUAUAUAGAUUUCCCCAACAUUUAUUAUGCCAGAAUUGGAAUUUAUAGAUCUGUAAUCCUUGACCAAGCUAAUAUAUCAUAUUAUAGAAACUUAAUCUACUCAUCAUAAUGCUGGUAUAAAUUAUGUUUUGUUGCAAUUGAAUUUAUGUAAAAUUUGUGGUUCAGAUUGUGUCAAAUAUUUUAAAUAUCUUAUUUUCAUAUUAUGUUAUUUCAUACUUAUUUUAUUCAAUCAGAUGGAUGAUGUCACUACAAAGAUGGACAAUAUAUCUUCAAAACAUUUACAUUUGAAAAUAAAUUAUGACUGUUUUAUGCAGAACUUGUUGUUUUUUUUGGGGGGGGAAGUAUACAAGAUAAAUUUGAAAAAAAGUGAGAAGUCAAAAGAAGUUGGAAGAAAAUGUUAUAUACUUCCCAAGGAACACACAGAGCACUAGAGUAAAAUGAGGCCAAGGAGUAUGGUAGGAAUGUGACAUUGAACAAUGAGCAAGAUGGAAUUUAGAGGACAAGUAAAAAUAAGUACUUCUGGUUUUAUAGGCUAUCUUAUUUAUAUGCAAUGUGUUUUGAUUCAUUUCAUUGUAAACUGUAUUUUGGACAUAUACAUUACAUGUGUAUUCCAUAACUCUUGAGGAAAGUUGUUGUGUAGAUUUCUAAGAGGAAGAAAACAUUUGGUACCCCUUAAAAUACCUCAGUUUACAUCAUUCUUAUAGCUAAUUUGAUCUGAGUAAUGAUUUUCAUCAGAUAACUGUUGGAUACUUGAUAACAGUGGGCAUAAAUAAAACUAUGAGUAGAAAAGAAAAAAAUGUGAUGCAGAAAUAUAACAUACUUUUGAAUUGUUAGGUUAAAUUUUUCAACUUUUAUAUUUUGAAUUGAUUCUAUUAUUCUUUAAAUUGUCAGAUGAUCUGAGAACUAACAUGAGAAUGAUUCAUGACUGACAUCACUGUCCAAUGGUACAUAGCCAUCCUAGCCUGUGCAAGGGCCUGGGUUCCAUUCACAAUAGAAAGGAGGAGGAGGAGGCAGGAGGGAGGAGGGGGAUAGGGAGGAGGAGGAGGGCAGGGAAUGAGGAGCGAAAGGAGGAGAUGAAGAACUCAAUUAUUAGUUCUUAUUUAAUGUAAUUGAUACUGAAGUUUUAAGUCUGGCAUCUUUUUUCUUCACAUUUAAAAUUGCUGUCUGAAUUUUUUACUCAGAACUUAAUGAAAUAAAUACAUAAUAAUUGGGUUCUAAUUUUUUAAAAAAUAUAUUCUUUUUAUUUUCUUUAGGCACAAUCAGUAGCUGUGUAAAUUUCAGAGCUUCAAUAAUAAGUCAGAUGGAACUGAAAAUCAGAAAUCUGGAAUUUGAACUGAAAAUUCUAAUAAAUACAACUGAAAGAGUAUAGGCACUUCUAUACAGAAGAAUCCAAAUUCCAAAAGUAUGUCAAAACAUAGACUGAAAGAGAGCAACUUAGUCUCCUUAAUUUGUUUUAUUGCAUAAAUUUGAGACAGGUUCAUGAGAUCAGUAGCAUGCAAAAGUAACUAGUUAAUAUAAUUUGUGGAAUUAAUGUUAGGAAAGUUUAUCUUUCACCCACCUUUUCAUUUUAUGUCUGGAAGCAAACUAUCAAGCCUUCUUCCACUAGUGUUCUCCUAUAUGUAAUUUGGUCUAUUAGACUUUUAGUUAAGUAUUUUUGAAGUUUUGUAAUUCAGAUAGUUAUAUUGAAACAAAACUGCUUCUACGUGGAAACAUGAACAAUUUUUGAAAGAUUAUAACUUAAACCUUAAGUGUCCAGUGUUGCUAUAAACUACACUCUGAGCACAUUCUAAUUCCUGAUAUAUUAACUGCUUUUUAUUUUAAUCUUUGAUAUUAUCCUUGCAUGUACCUAGAGACAAAAUGUUCUAUAUAGUUUUUCCUCUCUACAUUGUAAUACUUGUGAUGAAGGGAAACAUAAUCACAGGGAUGAAGGGAAGUAUAACUGCAAAGUGGUUAAAAAUAUUCUCAUAGUCAGUGUUGGGGCCUGUAAAUGACAGAAUAAAUGGGCAGGAGUCUCUUGAAGCCCUGGUAACAAAUUCAUGAGCCAACAUUCUUGGCAGCAGCUUUAAUCUAUCUUGAUCACCAAUCCAGCUAUCUUGUUCUGCAACAGUGGUUGUUGCUUUGAAUUGUCUCAGUGCCAAAUGCUUAAUUUACCUAGGUAAUAAGUAGAAUAUGCAUAUAAGGUAGUAAAUGCUUGAAAAAAUCUUCAAGGAAUAUUCUUUAAGUCCUUGAACUGGUUCACAAAAUAUGAAUCUUUCUAGCCUUAGUAAAAUUUUCUAGUUGCAUAUAUUUAAGGAAACCAACAUAAUAAAAUGGCUUUUGUAGUCAACUAAAAUAAUGUAUACAUCAUCUGCUAUAUUUAUCUUUAAAAUGCCAAUAUUUCUAAAGGCUUCCUCAAGAGUCUUCCAAGGAGAGUCUUUCAAGAAGGCAGCAUUGUUACCUGCCACACCAUGCAUCUCUGAUUUCUGUCUGUCUUCCACAUACAUUGCUUUAAUUGCAAGUUUGAAGCCCCCUAGAAAUAUGUACACUGCUUUAGAAAAAUUACGAACCCAUAAUUGCAUGCACUACCUCUGUUCUGAUUCUUUUCAGUGUUGUGCCCACUUACUUAGAAUUUCCACCUACUCUUUUUAAAAACAUAUUUUAUUUAAUUGUAGAUGGACACAAUAUUUUUAUUUUGUUUAUUUAUUUUAUAUCGUGCUGAGGAUUGAACCUAGUGCCUCACACGUGUAGGCAAGUACUCUACCACUGGGCCACAAUCCCUCCACUUACUUUUAUGACAACUUUUUAAAUUAUUAUUUUAUUUGAUGAAAAUUUCAAAAAUGUUUUUAUAUAUAGAUAAAAUUGAGGUUAAUUUUGACAUAAGCAUAAAAUAUAAUGUGCUCUAAUUCAGUGACCAGUACUUCCACUUUAUCUCCCCUGCUUCAUCCCUGUGUUCUCUUUCUUGUGUUCUACUGAUCUCAUACAUAUUUGUAGUUUUUAAAUGUUUUUUUAAUUAUACAUUAUGGAUACACAUGAAGAUGAAAUUCACUGUGGUAUGUUCAUAUGCAUACACAGAAAAAAAUUGAUCAGAUUCAUUCCACUAUUCCAUACUGAGUGUUGUCCCCAACUCCCUGGGUUGGGUUGGGUUAGUUUUAGGGUUAGGGUUAGGGUUGCAUUGUGUAACAGGAGCCCUUCAGUACAACCAGGUGAUUUUCUAUAUACUAAGACUUCAUUUGAUCAAGUCAAAUAUUAUUCCAGCAAUGAUGAGCUAUAUUUUUUAGAGCUGAAAAAAAAAAAAACAAUAUUCAACUAUUUUGAACCCAUUUGAAGAUAUUUCUAUAAUAUUUGAAAAUUUUUUAUUCAAGGGUAAUAUUGCAACAAUGAAAUAUCUGCUUGAAAAAUGAACAAAUUAAAGAUAGCAUCUUGCUUUCAUUGUGUCUCAUUGUUGUUAGAAUACCCAUUUUAAUGCACAUUGCUUUAGAGAUUCCAUGUUAUUUCCUUUUUUUUUUUUUUUUGUAAAAGGGAUUGAACUCAGGGGCACUCAACCAUUGAGCCACAUCCCCAGGCCUAUUUUGUGUUUUAUUUAGAAAUAAAAUACAAAACUCAGAGUCUCACUGAGUUGCUUAGAACCUCACCAUUUCUGAAGCUGGCUUUGAACUCAAGACCCUCCUGUCUCUAUCUCUUAAGCCACUGCAAUUAUAGGAAUGUGUCAUCACACCCUGCUUCCAUGGUCUUUUGAUCAUCUUCUUAGCACACAGUAAAGUCGUGCAUACCUGUGGAAAUGUGGCAUCAGCGUUAUUCUUUUAUGUACCAUUUAACCUAAAAAAAAUCACAGGAUUACAAAUCUAAGCUUUAAAAAACAACACUGAAAUUAAAUAUUGUGACAUAAAUAAUUUUAAUAUAUAAAUUAUAAUGUAAUUUAAUAGCUGAUAUAUAUAUAUAUAUAUAUAUAUAUAUAUAUAUAUAUAUUUUAGUUUCUUUGCUUAUAUGAAUACCUUUCUGAAAAAAUGAGAGAAUCAGUUUUGAAGUGCUUCAGAGUCAUGAAAUUGGAUGACUAUGUACAAAAAGAGCAUGAAAUUUAGUUGUUAUGCAUGAUGCAAGUAUAAGUUGUUCUUAUUAGUUCUUACCAGAAAAAUGAGAUAAUUUACUAUUUACAAAAGAAUGAUACAUUGUGUAUGAAUGUAGACACAAUGCAAAGGGAGAUUUUGGGGGCCAACUCUUUUUCCAUAGUAUUUCUUGGAGAAAGUGAUGUUUCUUUUUUACUUAUUCAUAAGCUAGUUUAUUUAAAAAUUAAUCUAAUAGUUAUACAUUUCCUGUGGAACAUUAAUUUGCUAUAUUAUGCUAGCAUUAAUGAGAGAGUUUAAAAAACACUCUUCUAUCAAGAUACAAAGAUAUGUCUCCUUAAUCACUGCAGAAUUCCACAAAAGAGGAACGGAGAAAAAUACUAGAGAGGAAGAGUGAUAAAUUAUUUUAUGUGCGUCUGUGAAUAUUCCAUAAUCAAUUCCACUAUUAUGUAUAAUUAAAUGCACCAGUAAAAAAUUUGUUUAAAAUAAUUUCCUUGAAAAAUAGAACAGAACAAGAGAAAGACAGGAAUGAAAAUUCUGUCAGUCAAAAUCAUUUCUUUUUCACAUCAAAAGUGUAAAGGAGUUGGAUGUCACCUUAUUGUUAUCACAACAACAUACUUACCAUGUUUAAUAAUCUAUUUUAGACUCUUCGGGGAAAUUAGGAAGAAAACAGCUUUUAUACAAAGAACACUCUACAUGGUGAUAUUUAUAUUAAGAGUUGGAAGUAUUUUCACACAUUUCUCAUACAGUACACAUCCAAAAUGAGCCAAAUGCUUAAAAAAUGCUAGUCGUUAACUUCUGAGAAGAAAUCAAUUACAAUUAAAGAGCUAUGUAUUUUUUUUCCAAGUCUGAAAAUCAAAAUCAAAGACCUUAAGUUUGAAACUGCCCUUUUUUUGCUUCUUUCCCACUAUGAAACUGUCAGCCUAUAGGCUGAAUUUUUUUGUGAGGAAAAAAAAUGGCAUCACCCAUUUUCUGUUGUUUCUGGCCCAAAACCCAUACUGAUCUAGUAACAGUCAUGCAUUUAAAAUACCCUGUCCUGACUCCAUCAUUAGUUUACAUUUUGCCCUCAAGAAAAGUAUGAAAUUUCUUAGCCAAAAAUUAAAAUACUCAAAUCACUUGGAUUUUUGUCAGGUUAUUAAGCCUGUCUCCUCUCACUUGCUUUACUGUCACUUUGCUCUAGAUUCUAGUGACACUGUUCCACUGUGAUUCCACAAGUGUUCUUUCUCAUCUUGGUGUCUGCAUGCACCUCUUACCUCUCUGUCACAAUUUCUCCUUUUCCUUCAGAUGUUAAGUCACAUAUAACUUCCACUAAAGGACCUAAAACACUGAAACAAUUUUGGGACAGAAGUCCCUUCUAAGUGUUCCAGUAGUAUCCUGUUUUAUCCCUGUCAUAAUGCCAAUGACUCUGUAUGGAAAUUGCCUGCUUGCCUGCUUUUCAAGCUAUGGUAUAUGACUGUUGAGGGGUAUGCAUUAUCAUCUCCAUGUUGUCAUUCCAGUACUUGCCAGAAUACCCUAGAAUAUGGUUUUCAAAUUUAUGCAUAAAGGGUGGAAAACCCAAAGCUCUGAUACUUGGUUAUAAUGAUAAUUGGGUAUGAAAAUAUGGGUAUAAUGCUUUUCAAUUUUGUACUGUGGACCUACAUAUCUAUUUUUUCAUUCUUAUAAACAAUGAAAAAAGUUCUCAACUUCUUCACUGAUUCAUAAUUAUAAAAUCUCUGAGGCAAAAAUAUAAUUAUUUUCUCUUCACUUGCUGCAGAAUUUGAAUCCUGACCAUGGGAGCUUCUGCUUUAAAAAUUACUAAUAAGCCAAGACAAGAUGUACUUUUGGAAACAUCAUAAGGAUAUACAAAGAUUUUAAUAAAAAAUAUAUGAAAGCUAAUAUUGUGUUCUUUAGACUGUUAAUAUAAUAUUUAAAUUGUUUAUGAAAUGUAUGAUAUAAAAAAUUAUUGAAAUGGAUGUGUGUAUCAUAUAUAUGAUGAAAUAUUCAAAAUAUUAAAAUUAUUUACAUCUAUAAGAAAAUUUGAAAUGCAAUUGCAAACCCAGUUUUUACUGAGAUGUGUUUUCAAACUCUCUAAAUGCUAGCAUUUAAGCUCAAUUCAACAACCAAAUAGUCAACACUAAUAGAUCUAAAUAUCACAUUAAUGAUGGAUUGUUUGUAUUAUAAAAAUAUAUCACUGAAUAUGGAUCCAGAGAAUUAGGCAACAUUAUUUUGGCAUACUGGUUACUAUUAUAUUCACUAGUGGAUAAAUGUAUUAGAAUUAUUAUUCUGCCAUCAAACAUACAAUCUUUAAUAUUUUAUAAUUUUAAUUUGAGGCACUGACUUAAGAAUUUUUCCUAAUAAGAAACAAUAUUAGCUUAAUGUUUUUUUUUCCAUUUCCUUUGUUUACAUAAUCUUGGGAAAUAAUAGUAAAUUUACAGGUUCUAAUAUAGAGUAAUUUUGUCUGCUGAAGCAUUUUAAAUUUAAUUGCUAACAUAUGCUAUCAUUCAUGAUAUUUUUAGUAUUUUCUACAAGUCAGAACGUGCUAGAUAACGGCAAUACAACCUUCAUUCAUUAUGAAUGAAUUUUUCAAAUAUUAACAAGUAACAGCAUACUUGUUAAUCAUAUCAGUUUCAUUAUAAAGGUUAUUUUGUUAUCUAGCAUGUUCUGACUUGUAGGAAAUAAUAAACAUCAUGAAAUAUGGCAUAUAUUAGUAAUGUACCUUAAAAUGCUUCAGUGGACAAAGCAUUUUAAAAUAAAUUACUAAUAUAUACCAUAUUAGGAGAACCUAUAACUUCACUAAUAUUUUCCAAGAUUUUAUAAAGAGAAAAAGGAAAAAAAAACAUUAUGCAAAUGCUGUUUUUCAAAUCAAUACUCAUACAUUCUAUCAUAAUGCCUUCAACCACUUAAUCCUCAGAUUAUUUUCAUGUUUUUCUAGUAGCCUGAUAUUGUUCUUUAUAAAAAAAAAUUCAUUCAGAGCCAUAAAAUUAUCUUAAUUGUAUUUUAUAGAUGCCUUCAGAUUUAAAUAUUCCUUAGUCUUUUUUUAACUUUCACGACCUUGAACCUUUUCAGGGAGAAAGCUCAUAGAAUGUGCUUAAGAUACAUUCUCUGGUUUCUUUAUGAUUGGAACGAGAUUACAUGAUUUUGGCAAGAGUAUCACAGAAUCAAUUCUGUGAUUUUCUCUUUGAAUCACAUCAUGUGACCUAUAAUAUCGUCAUUACUGCUGAUGUUAAUAUUAGUCAUUAAGGUGUAUUUUCAGGAUUUUACUUUGUAAUUAUUUUUUGUGGGGAAAUAGUUUGAAACUAUAAAUAUCUUUGUUAAUUAUUCACCACAAAAUUUAUUCAUUUAUUAUACCUAUAAAGAUUCAUGGUUUAUUUUAUUGAGUAUGCUGUUACUUGUUAAUAUUUUAAAAAUUUAUUUUUCUUUAAGAAAUGUUGUAUUUUGACAAUCUCAGAUUUAUUGAAGAUUUAAAACAGUAGUGAAAAGAAUUCUGAAGAAAUAUUCCCCAAAUGUUACUAUUUUGUUAACUGGUUUUAUCUCUUCUUUUCCAUUUCUAGAUAAGUAUAGGUACAUAACAGUUUUUAUCUGUGAGCCAUUUGCAAGAUGCACACAAUGUCUUUUUAUUCCUAAAUAUUCACAUUUUCUAAAAAUGAGAAAUUAUCUUCUAUAAAUAUGGUGCAAUGAUCAAAAUAGGGAAACUGUAUUAUGAAUGUUCACUCUACAAAUCUUAUUAAAAAUUUGACGUUAUUUUAACAAUUGUCCUUGGAAAAAAAUAAAUAGAGUUUUGGGAAAUUUGAAUAUCAAUUAUCCACUGUGUCCAGUGGUCUUUUUCUUCUAUUUUUUUUUUUAAUCUGGGAUGGUUCCUGAGUAUCUAUGGGCUAUUCAUGACACCUAUUGAUUUUUGAAUGGUGUAUUUCAGUAGUAGUUCUGUAGAUUUUCCUUCAAUUUAUAAUCAUGAUGAUUUCUCAUGAGUGGAUUCAGGUUAUGUCAUUAGAGGAAGACCAUCAUGCAAACAAUGCCUAGUUCUUACACUAGAGCAUAUUCUGGAAGCACCGGCAAACAUGGUAAAAAAUUAUGAUCAGCCUCUAGUAAUUUUGGACAUAUCCUCUAGGAUCUAGAGUCAACUUCUACUUAAAUGUAAGCACAUAUCUGGGGCUUCAAUCACACAGGCAGAAGAAACUAUGGAGAUAUACAGUGUCACUUGGUUCCAUCUCUGGUUAUUUAUUGACUAAUUAUUUGGUUAAGUAGUAUCUGCCAGGUUGGUCCAUGGUAAACAUAGUAUAUAUUUACCCUUUAUAUUUCAUAAAAAUUUUGUGUGGAGAUACUUUGGGAGUUUAUAAAUAUAUCCUUUGUCCUUAAAAUUUCACCCACUAGAAUUAAUAUUUCAUUUAUGAUUCCUCCUUGUGUCAAAUUAUUACUAUUGUGAUAGCCAAAUGAUGAUUUUUUUUCAUUGAUUCUACAUAACCAAAAAUAGCAAAACCAACCAAAAGUGGGCAAAAAGAAAAAGCUUAUCAUUAUGGUACUCUCACACCCCAGACAGAUGUAGACAGCAACUGAAAUUUCAAGCUGAUUACACAUUUUUUGAUGUGUCCAAUUCAUCCUGGAGUACAUUUGACUUUCUUGCACAACAAAAUGUUUCAAGGACAUCAUUUAUUUUCUUGUUCCAAAGCUAGAAUUAGCUGGAAGCUCUGUUUUCUGUUAGAGGAGAAAUAUCUGACCAGUAUUUGUGGUGGUUUUCAUUAUUACCUUUGGGGUUUUCAUGUUAAGGACAUGUAUCGUAUCUAUAAUAUAAAAAUGUGUAUUUUUUUCUUUUUCAUACUUUUUUAGUUGUCGAUGACCCUUUAUUUUCUUUAUUGAUGCAUGGUGCUGUGAAUAAAACCCAGUGCCUCACUCAUGCGAGGUAAGCCCUCUGACACUGAGGCACAACCCCAGCCCCAAAUGUGUAUAUUUUAUAUUAACAAAAAAACAGGAAGAAGGAUCUUUUGCAUAUAUUCUGAUUUUGUCUGUAUAUAUUCAUAUAUAAAAAGAUGUAUACUGAUAAAUUACAUAUACACAUGUAAAGAAUAUUUAUUACAGAAUUUCUUAGAAAUUGUCUAAGUACUCUUUAAGAAUUCUGUUUUUAUAUCUGUAAAAUAAUGUAGUAUGUAAUCAUUUUUGAAAAUAAGGUGAGAUUUAUAGAAUAUGUAUUAUUUCAAAUACAAAGCAUAUUUAAAGCUCUAUUUUGUUAACACAUCUUAAGUUCAUUUUGUUCUAAUACUUCCAACAACUUGCCAAGUUGCAGAAAGAAGCUGACUGCCACAUUGGCACUCUACCUGGUUACAGAAAUUGUAUUCAUAAUUAAAUUUUAAUUUUCAAUACCAGUUGAUAAGUGCUCAAAAUAUUUGACUCUCAAAUUAACCCGAAUGCUGCUGGUGAAUUGCACAUAGAGUUCGCUGUUCCACCAACCUGUCAAUAUAUUUGGUGAUAUUAAAAUUAUACCAAUGGAAUUUGCAAAAUAUUUCUUCAGAGGAUCAUAUAAUGAAGACUUUAAGCUUUGUGAACCAAAAAUUUUCUGUAGUCAUAGCCUCAAAUCUGCAAUAUAUAAUAACUGAAUGCCUGAUGGCAUUCCAAUAAAACAAUAUUUUCAGGGUAAGGGGGUGAGGCUCAGUGGUAGAGUACUUGCAUAGCAAAUACAAAGCCUGAGGACAAAUCUCAGCAUGGAAAAAGAAAACAACAAUAGAAACACUUUAUUUGUCACACUUUAUUUGCAUAACCACGACCUCACUCCCCACUCCCUCACCAUCUUCACUAUCUAGGUGCUUGACAGGGAAGUGUUCUCUGGGCAGAUCAUGCUUCUGGUGAUGAGAUACUGUCCCAGAAGGGGCUUAAAAGUGAUGAACCAGGGAGAGCAGGGGUUCACCCAGCUGAAUCUAAUCCUCAACCUCAGCAUGGAACUCAUACCCAUCUCAUCAAGUAUUCUGGCCUAGGAGGGAUCUGAGGCCUGUCUGCACACUUGUCAGGCAAGGGAGUCUGGGUUCUUCCUGAGGAGCAUUUGCUCAUUUCAAACUCACUGUUCAGCCUUCUGGGAGCUACAAAUGGCUUUAUCAAACAGUCCAGGUGUGUACUUGCUCACCCCAGUCUCCAAAUAUACCUUCUUACUUGCCCAGAGUGACUGUUGUCCACUAUUAUUAUUUAAUUAAUAAUCCAUGCAGGACAGACCAGGAGUUGCACUUUCCAGGCCAUAAAAAAUGGUGGUGAGAUGUUUUUGACAUCUUUCAGUAUUGCCGUUCUCCCAAAAAGUGAGGAGGUGGAGGCUGGCUCCUCCAACUGGACAAAUGGGCAAACACAGUGCUAUUUCUGCAAGAAGUCUUGUACCUGAAGACCUGACUGGAAGCUGCAAGAAGCACAAAAUAAAACCAGAACUUGUCACAGGACUCUGCACGCGGGUGUUUUGGUAUGUUCAGAGAAUCUCAGAACCUCUGGAGACUUACCUAUAAAACUGGAAGUUAGUGUCCACUCUCUCUCUCCUUAUUUCUCUCAUUUCUGCUGCUAUAUUUCAUGAAAGCAAGGAAGAAAAACAGUUUUUCCUUCUCUGAUUUUUCCAUGACUUUCUACUCCUUUUCCCCUUCAUUUUCUCUAUGGGAACCUGACUGUGUUUAACAAGGUUAGUCCACAUCAUGUGCCCAUAGGGGACCCAACAGCUUCAACAUUUGGAACAAUUUUUGCCAUCAAGAAUAGGAAUGAAUGAGGAGCUAAAUUGGUGCUGACAGUGUAUCCUGAGAUAUCUUUUCCACAUUUGGGGCCUUGGGCUCACCUAAUGGAGGAACCACAAUUGAGAUUAAAAAAAAAAAAAAAAACAUGGGCUCUCUGUGCUUCUGCUUCCUGCUUUCUCUGUUUCUUUAGCUAAGUCACUUCUACCUCUGGACCUAAGGUCAUCAGGUGUGAAGGAAGGGUGUUGGAUUGUGCAUUCAUUGUCUGGGCUGUCAUAAACAAAGGACUACAGACCAGGUGGCUUACACAAAAGAAAUUUAUUAUCUCACUAUUCUGGAAGCCAGAAGUCCCAGACCUAGGGGUCAGCAGUGUUGGUUUCUCCUGAGGCCUCUCACCCUGCUUACAGGUACUCUAAGCAUCUUCCUUGUGUUCACAGAGUUUUCCCUUGCAGUUUACCUAUGUACUAAUAAUUUGGUUUUUUUUUUAACUUUAUUUAUUUAUUUAUUCAUUAUUUAUCUAUUUAUUUAUUUAUUUAUUUAUUUAUGUGUUGCUGAGGAUUGAACUCAGGGUCCUGCACCUGUGAGGCAAGUGCUCUACCACUGAGCAAUAACCCCAGCCCCGUAAUCUUUUCUUAUACUGAUAACUUGUAUUGGGCCAAUUCUGAUGACCUCAUUUUACUUAAAUUAUCUCUUUAAAGACACUGUCUCCAAAUUAUGAGGUAUUGGGGUCAUGACUUUGACAUCUGAAUUUUAAGGGCAUGGAAUUCUGUCAAUAACAGACCAGAUCAGCAUUGCCCAAAGCAUGGGCUGCUGCUACUGGUGAAGAUGACUUCAUGUCAAAAGAGAAAUAGAACUUGGAGAACAAUCCAUUUUUCUGAGUACUUGAAGAAAUAAGUGUUCAGCUUGAUAGUAAUGUGUCUUUAACAUCUUUUUGACACUUACUGGUACAAAUGGAAAGCAGGCUGCAGGCACAGACCCUUAGGUGGUAACCAUAAAUGUAUUGGUUACCUAUUGCUGUGUGACAAAUCACCCUCAAACUCUAAGUCCUAAAAAAUGCACCUUUGAUAUACCACAGUUUCUAGGUUCAGGAACUCGAUAAUGACUUAGGUGGGUGUUUCUGAUUCAUGCUCUCUCCUAAGGUUGCAGUCAUCUGAAGGCUUGACUUGUACUUGUGCAUCCACCUCUAAGGUGGCUCCCAGUUGUGCUGGCAGUUGGCAGGAGCCCUCAGUUCUUUAUCUUCCAGGCCUCUGCCCAGCCUGCCUGAGUAUCUUCACAGUGUGGUGGCUGACUUCCUUCAGAAUGAGCAAUAGGAAAAACCAGAGAGCAAGAUGGUAGUAGCAUUUCUUAUAUUUAGCCUUGGAAGCCACUUUCAUAGAACCCUGUUAGGACUCUGUGGAAUGAGUAGGAUACAGCUGAACUUUAUUCAUUGUAGAAAGAUCUCCACAAAGGCAUAAUUAUCAGGGAUCACUGGGAGCAUCUCAAGACUGGUACACUAGAAAUUUAUAAAUUUUAUCUUCUGCAUUCUUUUGAGUGGCAUGCUGUCUGUGUUAUUGUAUAACCUGCUUUUCUUUACUCAAUAAUAUGUUUUUGAGAUCUACAUUUGUAUAGAUCUGAUUCCUUCAUUAAUUUGUGAGUAUAUGCCAUUUUUCUUUAUCCUUUGCCCUAUUAAUGGUCAUUUAGAUUGUCUCCAACUUUUGUUCUUAUAACAAUGAAAAUCUUUGUACCUGCCCUAGGAUAAAUAAUGAGAAGAGAAAUUGCUGGGUUGUAGAAUGUGUAUAUCUAAUUAUCAAUUGCCCCUUAAAAUAUUCACAUGGAUUUCACAGCUAUCCACAGAGUAGGAAUGUUUCCAUUUCUCUUCGAUAUAACCAACUCUCCCUGUAGCCAGGUAUUUUAAAUUUUGCCAAUCUGAAACAUAAAAAAAAUAUUUUUAUUAUUUUUAUUUGUGGUUAAAAAAACACAUCAAAUUUCCCAAUGUAGUCAUCUUUAAAGUGACCGGUUCAGUAGUGUUAACUAUAUUCACAUUGUUGUGGAACAGAUCUCUAGAACUUCUUCCUCUUGCAAAACUGAAACCCACAUUCAUUCAAUAGCUUUCCAUUUGCCUUCUUCAGUCCCUGGAUGCUACAAUUCUUUUUGUUGUAAAUUUGACUACUUAAGAUACAUAAAGAUGUGUAUAUAGUACAUAUUUGUAUUUUUUGCAUCUGGCUUUAUCUCAGCAUAGUGAACUCUAUGUACAUCUAAAUUGUGGUAUGUGACAGGAUUUCCUCCUUUCCAAGUUUGCAUAAUAAUUCAUUGUAUGUAUAUGCCAUAUUUUCUUUCCUUAUUUGUCUAUAGACAGAAUUUUAUGUUGUUUCCAUACCUCAGCUAUUUUGGAAAAUGUUGCUAUAUACACAGGUGUAUAAUUUUUUUUUUUAAGUUCUUCCAAACAUAUAUCCAGAAAUAGGAUUGAUGGGCAACAUGGCAGUUCUGUUAUUAAUUCUUUGAUGAACCUUUAUGCUGUUUUCAAGUGCACUCACCUUUCUACAUUACUACCCAGGGGACAAAUUUUCCAAUUUCUCCACAUUCUCAUCAACACUUGAUAUUGUUGUGCUAACAGUACCACUCAACAUUUUCAUUAUACCUUACCAAGCACCAGUGGGUUUGGGCAUCUAUACACAAUCCCUUUUGAACAAUGGGAAAUUAUAGUUCUGGGAAGUUAAAUCCCUUGUCCCAGAGUACAGGACUCAUCAGUGAUAGAGCUAAAGUAGAAGUCAGGGUCGUGGCCCACAAAGCUAUAUGCAUCAAUAUGUCACCCUGCCCUCAAAUUUGCAGUGAUUCUUUAAGAAAAGAAAGUAAGGGAGAAAGAGCUGUUCCAUGCUUCUGAAUUCCUGCCUUUUGAACUCCACACGAGUAGAGAACCUGCCAAGCAUUGUUGUUCUUGGACAUGUGGGCUAAAUGGCCUUUGCCUCCACCUGGAAGGAAGCGGCAUCCAACCUAAUACCCCAGAUGGGAAAUGUGUGACCAGAAGAUUAGCUCCAUUGUAUGGGGCUGGAUGCUUUCCACCAGCAUUGUUUAUGGGAUACAUUGUUUUUGCAAAGUUAUUUGCUCCAGUAAAUCUCCAAGCUCUUGAGGCCCCCUUGCCAUGUAGAGAGUAAGAUUUAUGGGUAACAGGGAGUGUGGGCAGGAAAGGUUUACAAAAGAACAGAUCCUCUGGGAGACUUCUGGAGUUCCCUCAAAAAGCAAGAUUGUGGCCCUAUUUUGUUUUAUUUUUGAAACUGGAUGUGCCAACGGGGUGUUGAACUUUUCCUUACCCUUGGUUGUGAGUGUCGAUAUUGUUGUGUUAUUGUCUGUAUUCCACAUCAGCUCACCUCUGCACAUUUCCAUGUGUGUUGCUGCGGUUUUGAGACAUUUCCUUGGUUUUGUUUUCCCUGGUCUUCCUGCCAGAAAUGUCAUGCACCUAACAGCACAUACAUGUACCCAUUUGUUCUGAAUCAACUAGCAGAUGGUUCCUGUAGUGCCCAAAGUAAACACUCCCCAUUCAGAGGCCAUCCAUGAGGCACUGCUCCUGGGGUGGUCUCAGUGCUGUAGUUCUGUGACAGAGAAUGCAUUGUGUCUGGCAUGUCACAGGAUUGUCAGCUGCUAACAUGUGCUGUCUCUUCAUUGUUCUCUCUUUCUAUACACCUACCCAGUCAGAUAGACAGACUGCCCCAUCACUGGGAUUUUCAUACUGUUCUCAAACCUCAAGAAUUAGGCCAGGCUGUCUGAUAGAGAAGGAUGCAGAAAGCAGGAAGAAAUAUCAGGCUUCUUACCUCCUCUGAGCCUCAGUGUUCUUCCCUGCACAAUGGCAUAAUGUCACCCUGGAACCUGAUAUUCAGGUAGUCAAGCAUAUCGAUAGCUAAAGAACUUAGAACAAUGCCUGGUACCUGGAAAACACUUAAUAAAUUGCUCUUGUUGUUUCAUUGGUCUAGACCCUGUGCUAGGGAUGCAGGAAGAUUAAAUGAGAUGUAACCUUGUCUCUAAGAACUCAAGGUCAAGUGAAAGCCACAAUGAACCAUCUAGUAUAUGGGGGGAGGGGUAGAGAAGAGUGCAAAGUGGGCACUUAUACCUGAUGAGGGUAUCAGGGGAGUCCUCUUGCAGAAGGUGAUAUUCAAACUGAGGCUGAAAAAUGACUGCCUUUGCUACUUAGGCAAUACCACCAAAAGCACAUCAGAGCCUUGCUUGACAUCAUUGAUGUCUAUGACUCCCAUAGUCCCUCACUUAUUCACUCAUUCAUUCAUUCAUUCAUUCAAUCAGUCAACUAAGUAUCCAUGAACACCUCCUGGUGACAUGAUACAACUUGAGCAUUAAAAUGAAGCUUGUCAAUCUUUUUGCAGUCACUGAGUCCCCUCCCUGGUCCCAGCUGGCUCCAGGCACAACUGUGACAGUGUCCAUAGGAAGCCAAAAGGAUGGAAGGGAUGGAAUUUCACUGUCUAGCCUGUGACCUUUGCCAACCUGCUCCAUGGCUCUGCCCCUCAUCAGUUCUGUUAACACUGGGAGGUUACCUCGGUUCCCAUUGGAAAAAUGAAAAUAUUGAGGCCCAGAGACAGUUGUGUAUUUCCAUGGUGCCUUCCACUUUGUUUGUCUAGGAAACCUGGAGGAAGGCAGUAUCUGCCAUGGCAGGACCCAUCAUAAGCACGCUCUCCCCACAGCUUGAGUGUGUGGAACUAAGCUACUUCUGGAGGUCUGUGACUCCCCAGUAUACCUCUCAGAAUAAACACUCUGUUAAGAGCAACUAGAACUUGCAUGGAAAUGGUUACUCCAUGACCCAUGUUCCCUUGGUUCAAGAGGUCUUUUCACCAAAAGACUUCAUUGUUUCAGAAUUUCUUCCUCUUUUCUAGUUUCACCAAGAUGGUAUGGGGCUGUGGAAGGGAAUCCAAUGCCUCAAGUUACUGCUCUGUAAACCCUAGCCAGUCCCUGGGGCAGUGACCUCCUUGCCCUCUGUCACUGGCUCAGCAGGCUACAGUUGCAGGGCCUACAGCUGCUGGACUUCUGGACAGUGAUGGUCCACCCAGUCCACUCCUGGCACCUCCCAGUUGACCAGCCCUACCUUUCUGGUGCUAAUUUUCUGCUAGAAAACUUGUUGCCCCACCCAUUUUCCCUUGGUCAUCUCUGGUCACCUUGUAACUUUCAGUCUCAGAGCCACUUCACCCCUCCCACAGCAACUCCUGUUAGUCUCACUACCACAAUCAGUUCCUUUCUGUGUCCCUCUUCAGGACACAUGGACCUUUCUAGAAAUUUCUGGAUGCAAACUCCAAACCCUCAUUCUGCCUAACCAUACUGUAUGCUGAUUAUAUUUUGACAUUGUCCCUAGUCAGAAUUUCACAUAGAAAAUGAUGCCAAAUCUUCUCUGCUUCUCACUUUUCCAUGCCCUCUAUCUGAAAUCUUUUGCUAGGAGUUCUGCCUGGAUGCACAUCUAAAAUCUGACCACUUCCCCACCUGUCUCUCCUUCUUCUUCCAUACUCCAGGCUCCACUGUGCUGGAGAGGGGCUAGCCUUUGAAACUGCCAGAGAGGUGACCCAAGGGAAGAUGCCAGAUGAUCAGAGAACAUAUGGUGGCAGGUAUCAGAAAAUUUUACCAGUUACCCUGCCCAUCGAGGUUCUUGAGAGGAUUAAAUGGCAUUGUGCAUAUAUAUGCUAUCUGUUCAAAUAAGAAUAGACCAGAAGAACAGAUGGCUUGGAUUCACAUCCGACCUUCACCAGCAGGAAGCUGUAUGACUUUUGACAUUUCAUUUAAACUCUCUAAACCUCAGUGUGCUUGGCUGUGAAAUAUGAAUAACAUUAACCCUCACCUCACUGACUCCUGGGUUGAAAUAACAUGUCUGAGUCCCACUCACACAUGUGUUUGGAUGUGAGUGACAAAGUUUGAAUGCCAGUUUUGGAGGGAUAUGUGUUCUUUGGUGCCACCCUGAAUAAAAGUGAGUUUUUGUUCUAGUAAGGAAGAAGGAAAUAGAUGCAGGUUAGGUUCCUAGCAAGUGUCCCUGACCACAGUUGGUACAGUUGUCUCAGCAUAGUGCCUAGUACAGAGUAAGUACUGGAACUAUUAGCUAGUGGCAGUAAUACUGAUCAUGAACUAAGCCACAUGGGAUCUAAAAUUUUGAAUUAGUGUCUACUUGGUGGCAAGGCUAUUAUGAAAGAAAGUCAGUGGAGUCCAUGGGAAUCCCUGUGGGAAUCCCCUUAUUGUUUCUCUGCCAGAUCCCUGUCUACAUCACACACAGUAGGUGCUUAAUAUUCUGUUGAGUUAAUGAAUAAAUAUAUCUCUUAGGUUAAGAUGGGUUUCAGCCUCCCCCAGUACAUUUUUGAAUCUCUGUCCCUAUAACCUUCACUUGACCUCCAAGUGAUUUUUGUCAGGCACUUAUUGGCUGGGUUCUACCCAUCCCAUGGUGUGCAAAAGCAAAACAGCAUAUUGAAUUUCAUUUCCAGCACUUUCUGGCCUAGGCUUUAUGGACCCUGUCCUUCUAUGUGCAAUUUCUGUCCCUUCUCCACCUCCAGCAAGUGCUAAUCCAGCAGCUCAAAGUAAGAGGUGUGAAUUUCUCCUCACUGUGUGGUCAUGUUUCUUAAUCAAUAGCCUGACUUGUCAGCACCAAGUAAUACAACUUUGAUUUGAAGAGAAAGAGGGAGCCAAAGGACAUGGCUGAAAAAGCAAGCAGAGAAAGAAACCUUUCUCCAUACAUUAAUUAGUUCAUUAAGUCAACAAAUACUAGCAAUUCUUUGAGCAAUGAUAGGGUGCAAGGUGCUGCACUAAGUGCUAUAUGCAGAUUUGUUCAUUCAGUCCUCACAAUAUUUCAAGGUGCUGUGAUGAUUCUCAUUUUUACAUGAGAAGAAUUAGAGAACAUCUAGGUUAGUAGCUGUGGAACUCUAUCCUGAGUUAGCUCUGUGCCCAGGGGCCAAAGAUGUAGCAGUGAAUAAGUAAGACAGGUCUUCCUCAUCCUGCCUAGGGGUGGGAUAUGCACAAAAGCCAAACAACUGGGGGCAAGAAACAGGAGAGGAUGGUUAAUGGGUACAGGCUUGCAGGACAGCAACAGUCACUUCUAAUAUUUUAGAACAUGGUGGGGUAACUAUGCUUGACCACAUUCAAUUGCAUAUUUCAAAAUAGCCACCAGAGAGGAAUUGUAAUGCUCCAAGUACAAAGAAAUAAUAAAUGUUUGAGGUGAUGGGUAUGCCAAUUGCCCUGACCUGAUCACCAUGCAUUGUAUACAUGUAUCAAAAUGUCACACUAGACCCCAUAAAUAUGGACCCCAUAAACAUGUGCCAAUUAAAAUUCAUAUACACAUAUUUAUUAAAUGCAUACACCCAUAUGAAAGCAAGCAACAAAAUUCACAAUAAUUUCAAAUAGUAUUUUAGUUAGGCAUGCUUUUGGAGGCAAGUAGAAGAUAACCUGAUUACCAUGGCUCACACCCUAGGCCUUUGAUUUUCUCACUGGAGCAGAAGAUAGGAGGAUGCUGGUACUGGCUAUGUGGCUCUGACAUUUGCAUCCUCCCUGGGGUCCUGCAGUGUUCAAACAUCUCCCCUCCUGUCCUCAUUCCUGUACUUCAGCAGGAGGUAAAGAGGUGGAGACAGUGUCUAUAUCAGGCAGGGCAAGCAGAUUUCUGCAUCUCUUAUGGGCCACUUCUGCCCAGCUGGCCACAAAAAAGAAGAGCAUUUACACUGGAAGUCAUGUCCACUACCAACAGUGCCUGAUACAGAAAGUACCAUGGAAGAAAUUUACAUGGGGUAAUUGGUUAGAGGGAUUCAGUGCAGAAGGUAGUCAGGGAAAGUGACAUUUGAACCUCUGUGACCAGGAGCCAGCCCUGAAAAUACUUGGGACACUUUUCCACAUAGAGAACAUCACAAUGCAAUGAUCUUUGUUUGGAAAUGAUCAUGGGGACAUCUCAGGAUAGAGAGGCCCAGGGUAGUUGCAGCUCAAGACCAAAAGAGAGCAAACAAAAUUAAGGCCAAAAGGGAGACAGAAGCUAGAUGGUGCAGGUCCCACAAGGAGAUUGAAAGUUAUUUGGUUCUAAGUGUAGUGGGAAGGUGAAAACUUUUCAUCAGAGGACUGUCAUGAUCUGAUUCAUGUUUUAAAAAGAAUUACUUGGGCAGAAGAGCUCUUUUGAGAGUGAUGAGGCUUAAUAAGAAGAUCUAAUUCCAGGUUAUGUUAUAGUUUUUCACAGCUCCUUUCUCUUGGUUAAUUUUUUCUUCCUCUUACACACCCCCCUGUGUCCUGCUUAAUUCAGGGCAGCUCCUGAAGAACUGGACUAUUUCCUGCCCAUCUGUCUCUCCAGGGCUUUGUACAGGGCCACACAUUUGGCCAAUGAUUGAUCAACAUGGCUUGAACUGAACUGGACAGAAACGAGUACUUUUCUCCAAGAUCCAUGAGCUGCUGCAUCAACUCACCCUCCACUCACAUAUUUUGGCUAGGUCAGUGGCUCUCAGCUGGGUAAGUUUGCCUCCAAGGCGAUAUUUGGUAAUAUCUGCAAGCAUAUUUGGCUGUCAUAACUAGAGAAAGAGAGUGGGGGAAUGCUACUGGCCUCUAGUAGGUAUUGGCCAGGAACAUUGAAGAACAUUCUACAAUGUGAGGGACACUCCAUGACACAGAAUUCUGUGGCCUCAAGUGCUAAUAGUGCUGAGGCUGAGAAAAUGUGGCUGAUUUACAUGCCUGCUUUUUUAUUUCCCUAGUAUUUUUCUUUAAAUAUUUUACUUUUAAAGUGGAAUUUUAAAAGAUACCAUAAAUUACUCCCCAAAAGUAGAAACUCAUGUCACUCUCUAUAAAUAGAUGAUAAUUGGAAGAUACAUACUCAGAAAACUAAAAUCUAUGGCAUUCUAGCUGGAUAUUGUGAUGAGCUCAAGACUCCAAACCUGAAGCUUGCUUUCUCUUUGUCAAAAAUAGGCUGUGAUCAAGGUCCUAAGGAUUAAGAAAGACUGAGGAACUAUUUGAGUUUAAAUAAAAAAAUAUGUGUAAUCUGAUUCCUAAUUGGUUGUGCAUCCAAAAAAAUAAAAAUAAAAUUAUUGAAAAUGACUUCAUGGGACAACCAGAAUACUUUGACUAUAGAUUGUAUGUUGGAUAAUAUCAUGGUGUCCACAUUACAUUCCUGAAUUUGGUAACCAUAUUGUGGUUAUACAAAGGAAUGUCCCUGGUCUUAGGAAACAAUUGAAAUAUUUAGAACUAAAGAUCCUAAACAUUGGAAUCUCAAUGCUUUUAAAAAAAGUGUGUGUGUGUGUGUGUGUAAUAUGCAUGUGAAUAAACACAUACCUAUACACAUAAAUACAUACAGAAAGAGAGGCAUGCACACAAAAGAGCUUACAAGGUAAAUUGGGCAGAAAUAAUAGCUGUCAAAUCUAGUGUAUAAAAGAUUAUUGUGCUGUUCUUGUAACUCUUUCAUAGCCUCGAACAUUUCCAAAAUAAAAAUUACACAAACAAACAGAAACUCUCUUGAAUUUACUUCUCAUGGCACAAAUCUCAAAAAAAAAAAAAAAAAUUGGAGAACUGGUAGAGCACUUGCCAAGCAUGUGUGAGGUACUGAGUUCAAUCCUAAGCACCACAUAAAAAUUAAAUUAAAAAAUACCUUUUUUAUGGUAUUGUGUCCAUCUACAACUAAAAAAUAAAUAAAAUUUUUUAAAGUUUUAUUAGGAGCUCAGGAGGCCUUCAGAUGUUAAAUGGUUUUUAGUGAAUUGAAUGAUUCAUGUUUUAUUCCCAAAAUUAUUACCAAAAUUAAAAUGUCUCUUAAAUGGAAAAAAAAAUAGUAUCUACCCUGUCAUCAAGUUUAUGUAGAUAAGACAGCCAAGUUAUCUAAGAAUCCAACCAGACUUGUUCUUUUUUUGGGGGGGGUGAGGCAGGGUGUGCUAUGAUUGUGACAUCACAUAUCUGCAGAACUGUCAUUUUGCACAUUCAUGGGAGAAUAUGUUUGGUUGUAUCCUGAGAUUGUGAUGCUCCUAGCAUAUGUUGACUGAUAAUAAAGAGAUACUAGCAAUGAGAGAGAGGUGUUGCAGAUGGACUAUGCCCAAGAAACUUUAUCAUCAGAAAGACUGAAAGCAAAGAGAUAGGAUGCUGAUUUUCCUCACUGCAUUCACUGUGUUCAAUUCACCCAUAGGCCUCUGCUGGCUCAUCAGCUGGCUGUUUCUCUUCAGUCUCAUCAAAGUGCUGUUGUGAGACUCAGUAUCCCCACCUGCAAAAUGGAGAUAAUACAGAGUAAGCUGACUUGGAGUAGGGUCAUCCUGCCCUCUGAAGUCUUUAGUUAUUACUGACAUGAAACUCCAGCCCCACCAGCAUUCCAAGUGCCUGGGGGAAAUUCCAAUGCCUGUGCAAAGAUGUCAUUGAAUUCCUAGGACCUUACAUUCUUAUGAUACCUAGGGCUCAAUUUCCUCCUGUCUUGGCUGAUGUCUUGUUGGUCCUCUGAGUCCUGUGACUUUGUAUGUAAGUCCAUUGUCACAAGAAAUCAGUCCUUUGCUGGGAUUUCCAAUACACACAAAAAGAAGACAUACAAGCUCAAAAAUAUACACACAGAGAUGCACUCUUAUGGAUGGACUAAAACACAUAGAAAUAAAGACACACAUAUGUACACACACACAGAUAUGGACUGCCUCACAGAACCAAAAAAAAAAACAAAAAAACAUAAAAAUAUAGACAUACAUACUUAUAGACACUGACAUAGUUAGACAUAUUCACACACAUACAAAUUGAUAGACACAGAGACCCAUGGACACAGAUACCAAGCUUGUAUGUGCAGCAGACUUUACAAAGGUCUGGGGAUAUGAAAGGAGUUUUUAAUGCAAACAACUUAUACAUGAAUGCUAGGAAUGUUCCUUCAAAGCUCCCUGAACUUCUGUCCCUUUCCACCUUUUAUAUUCCCUGCCCUUCCCCAAUAUUCUCCUCCACUUUUUCCCUUAUCAGAACAAUUUGUUUCUUUUCAACUCCCUAAUUUCAAAGUCUGCUCUGGACUUCUCUUUGCACCUCUCUCUUCUGAUGAUCUAGCUAUGCUGAGAAACACCCUCUGAUUUGGUCUCCUGCCCUCACACCAGGUUUUGCCAGGGAAAAAGAGCAGGAGAGACAUUUAUUUGCCCACUGAUGUGAACUAUGUCACAUGCCCUCACGCAGACCUAACCUAAAAUGCUGGCGUGGAGCUCACUUCUCGAUUUUAUCAUUAUUAACCAAGGGUUUUGUAUUGGUGUUGUUUAAAGUAUUUCCCCCCCCCUACAAAAUCACAGAAGAUUCCUGCAGUCCCUUCACCCAGUUUUCUCUAAUACUGACUCUUAAAAAGAUUAACUAGGCUGGGCACAAGGGUGCAUUCCCGUAAUCCCAGAAACUCAGGGGGGUGAGGCAGGUGGAUUGCAAGCUUGAGGCUAGCCUCAGCGAGUAAGAAAGGCCCUAAGCAACUUAGCAAGUCCUUGUCUCAAUAAAAUAAAUAAAUAAAUAAAUAAAUAAAUAAAUAAAUAAAUAAAUAAAAUGAAAAGGGAUAGGGAUGUCUCUCGGUGGCCAAGCACCCCUGGCUUCAAUCCCCAAUACAAAUACAUAAAAAAAUAACUAUAGUAUAACGAUCAAAAAAAAAAAAAAGACAAAAACCUGGUACAAAACUAUCAACUAAUCUAUAGACUUUAUUUGAAUUUCACCAAUUUUCCUUUAAGGUCUUGUUUCUGUCUGUGUUCUUGUGUUGCAGUUGCAUUUAGUCAUAAAGACUCCUUAGUCUCUUCAAGUCUGUGGCAAUGCCUCAGUCUCUCCUAGUCUUUUAUGACCAUGAUCCUGUUAAAAGAUGCUGGUCAGAUGUUUUGCACAAGAUCUCUCUUCUUGGGUUUGGUGUUUAUUUAUGAUUUGGCCGGGUUAUUGGUUUUGUAGGGAGAUGCCACAGAGGUGAAAGGUCCUUAUGGGAUUAUUUGGUGGGAAAGGGGGAUACAACAACAUGACUGGUUAGGAGUGAUAUUAAUUUCAAUCAUGUGAUGCUUCUUGGAUUUCUUAUUAUAAAUUUACUAUUUCUGCCUUUGUGAUUAAUAAAUAUCUUGGGAAAGAUACCUUGAAAAUAUCUUAUUUCUCUCUCAAUUUUUACUUAUUUAGGGGAUGUGGCUCAGUGGUAGAAUACUGGCGUGUCAUGCAAGAGGCCCUAGAUUAAAUUCCCAUACUAGAGGAAAAAAAAAUUGUUUUGCUCACUUACAUUUUUGGCAUCCAUUCAUAGAUUUUACCCAUAACACUUAUUAUUAUGGUUUCCUAAAGGUUAUUUUAUGUUUAUUUCACUUAUCCUUUCUUUAUUUAUAAACUGUAAUUAAAAAACAACUUUAAAAAACAUCUCUCUCUUUCUCUAUUCUUUUCUUUCUUAUUUUUUUUCUAUUCAUAUGGGCUUAUGGUUAUCUAUUUAAUUCUAUGACUUAUAGUCCAAUACUAUCAUUAUUUAGUUGCUCAAAAUGUUCCAACUUUGGCUGUUGGAAACUCUUUCAGAUUGGUUCCUGUAUCUUUUCAAUAAGUCACUAUCAAAUCAACCAAUUUAUGCUGCAUGCAUUACAUAUAUGUCACAAGAAAUCCUCCUGAUAUAUGUAAUUAUAAUGUACCAUUUUUUUUUAAAUAAGCCCCUAUUCCUUAUUAAGUAUCACUCUAUUUUCUGCCACCACAAGGUGUUCCAGGAUUAUUUUACAUUUUCCCUGCUCCAGUUCUGGGAGCAACCAUUUCUUCAAGAGCUUUGGUCUCUAUUAUUGGAGAAUAGUAUUUAGAAUUCAGAUCUGGGUGGAGAUCUGUCCUGCUCAUUUCUAUGGAACAAGAGUUCUAAGUCCUCUUAGUGUUCAGAAUUUGGAACUAUGUUAUGUCUAUAAAUGCAUGUAUACACAUACAUCUCUUUUUCCUUGUUUUCUUUUUCCUUUCAUUAAAAAGCUUUAGUUUAUAAUGAUACUACUAAUUUCAGUUCAUUACUACAGUGUUCAUCCUAAUGCCAUGUGUUUUUUUUUUUGUUUGUUUGUUUGUUUUUUGUUUCUUGUUUUGUUUUUGUUUUUUUGGUACUCGGGAUUGAACUCAGGGAUAGAAUACCACUGGGCUACCUCUCUAGCCUUUUAUAUUUUAUUUUGGGACAGGGUCUCACUAAAUUUCUGAGAUUGGUCUCAAACUUUCGAUCCUGCUGCCUCAGCUUCCUGAGUAGUUGGAAUCACAGGCCUGCACUACUGCACCCAGCUAGUGUCCUCUUUCCUUACUUGUAACUGUGGAAUUCAUUCUUCCUUUUCUUUUUUAUAUUGAAAGGCUGUUGCUUACAUAUUGCUAAAUUGUGAAAAAUGUUCCUCGAUCAUGCCUCCCCAACUUUUUUCUCCCCUAGAAAUGGCUGACACAAGAAUACAAGAUAGGUUGCUAUAUAUUGCUGUCAGAAGCUACACAAAAGAGAAGCCAGUUGAUUUCAUGGUCCUUCUUCAUGCAAAAAAGCACUAAUCACCCCCUUUAUGCUUUAUCAGUAGUGGGGUACAGGAGGGUCAGUCCAGGCUGUGGAAUGUAAGCUCAUUGUUCCAGCCAAAUGAGUCAGAUGAGAUGGGAAUGAACAUUUAUUUAAGCCAUUGUGUGUCAACAUGGUUCUGAAAAAAAAGGCUUUUUCUCACUCCAUCCCUCUGGGAAAAAUUCCCAAUCUGAGGUCUUCUCACUUUGGUCAUUGGCCUCCCUGGAGGCAACUUGCCUCUUGGGCCACCUCUUUAUCUCUUCAUUGAUUUCUGGUCUCUUCUCCUACCAACAAUGCCAACAUACCUGCUGUUUCCUUUUCUUCCUACAAAUGGGGCUCUCCUUUAUUUUCCACAUGCCCCCUGGGUGUUCAUCUCAGUGUGGGGUCUCAGCAAACACCCCCUCAAAGCUUGGGUCUUCAGAAUCUUUUCAACCAGAAAAGUCAAGAUUCCAUUUUUCUUUAUUUUGUAGCUUAAGCUUUGGUUUCCCUCAAAGGUUUCCUGUUCUGAUUACAUUCGGGGUGUGGGGAAAUGAUCUGUUCUCCUGUCCUUUUAUAAUAGCCCAGACUCAUUCAACAGGCAAUCGCAACUGGAAAUGCUCACCAAAACCCCAAUUUUGCCUACUGUGCUUCAGAUAUGUGAAAGAUGAGGAGGGAAGGGGGACAAGAUUAGAUCACUCUGAGGGCAUUAUUAUUUCCAACUAAAAUCCCCAUUAUUAGAGUUCCUUCUAGUAAGAAAAAAAUAAGCUUUGUGCCGGUAUUAUUCCUUUUAGAGUUAUCAAUGAUUCCAGAAGCCCACAGGCCUGUUUGACUGCCAUCCUGAUCCUCCCAUAGGGAGACAUAGGGGCCACCUCAACAGUGGCCUGGGAUGACCAUAAAUGAAUUGGAAACACCCAUAGUGAGAAGAAUGUGAGUGAAAGUGGGAGGAUAAAGAGAACCUAUGUUUUCUUAGCCAUAUCUAGAAAGCCUGAAUGGAGCUGUCUGGCAGCCACAGACUUCCCAAGGAUGCACUGGACAGAUUCCUGGAGGUACCAGGGAGAUAAUUUAUGAUUGGGAUACCCAACCAUUACAAGACUGUGAAGAACACAUUUUGAGGAUUCUGAGAAUACUAUGCAUUCUAGGAAGGAAUGUUUAGCACAGUCACUUAGACAUGGUUGAAAGUAUGAGUGAUAAUAUUAAUGAUGACAUCUAUGGGAGUAUGCUGAAUAGGGAUAAUAGCAGUGAUGUAAUAAGAAGAUAUGCGUAACAACCAAGAUGGUUGGGAUUUAGUUCAUGUCUCCCUUAUGAACCAGGCAAGGCACUCAAGUUUACAUCUUAAUAAAUUCUCACAACCGUGAGGCAGUUACUCCCAUUAGUCUACUUUACUUCUGACAACUGAGAUUCACAAAGGUGGAAAAUUGUACAGUGGUCACAAAAUUACCAGAAAACAAAGGCAUUUCAUAAAUAUAUCACUGUGUGGUCUUGUUGAAAGGAUCUGUCUUGUUGGUUGUAGGAAUGUGAUUUAGCUGAGUUAAGCAUUCAUGGGGUCAUGGCUGGUGCUAAAGUGUCCCCAAUGCUAGUUACAUGACUCAGAGAAAGGAAACUGAGACCCAACUGCAAUCUAAUCAUGGAGGUGCUCAGUCAGCCAGUAGAGGAAUUGCUGUUGGGGCAGUCAUAGCACCAAGGAUGGGGCCACCCAACCAAGUAUUCAAUAACCUGGCUAGGGUUCAGAAACAAGGUGGUGAGGAUUGAGGGGAGGCAUGCCAGACAGACACAAUAGCAGGAGCCAAAGCACUGCAGUGUGCAGUAAGUAGCAUGGUAUGGGCCUGCAGUGACAGGCAGUUUAAUGCGGUCAGAAUACAUGGUUCAAGGUAAAGGGGGAAACAAGAAAGAAAUCUGGAAGUGAAGCAGGGACCUAACAUGAAUCAGCCAAGGCCUUGGGCCCUAGAUAGAUAAAAGCCUGGAUCUGGAGUCCAAUUUAGCCAUGUGCUAACUAUUUUGAAUCUGGGCCACAUCUUUAGAGGUUUUCUAAGCUUUGUUUUACAUAACUGAAAAGCAUAGUGACAGAUAAUAGUCUCCAUGUGAAGCUGACAGCUUGGGUACCUGGUCUGUGGUCACAGAGUUGAUGGAUGGAUUUGUCAGGAAGCAUAUCUACUUUCUAUUACAUGUGAUGAAUGGAUUUUCCAAGAAGCAUAUCUACUUUCUAUUACAUGUAAAACUUUAUUGAUCAUCAAUUGUUAUAUAUUCUUACUUACUUUUGCAUAUUUCAGGUUAUUUACCCUGUUAGUAGUGUAAUUUUUCUGGCUUUGGGCUUGUCCUCCCAGUCUAGGUAUCCCUCAAGUGUAGACACCAUAUUUUAAUCUACCAUCACAAGAUGUAGCCAUGCAGGAAUCUCAGCCUUGCUGGACCAUUAGAAUUGCUUGGGCAUGCCAGACAGCUGCACAGGUCUGUUCCCCAUCCCAGAUGUAUUAAACUAGGACCUUCAGGACUGUGGCUUGAGCUUUUACUCUUGACCAGCUGGGCAGAAAAUUGUUUGAAUCAAUUAGUAAACAAUCAUACAGUAUGUACAAUUGUCCCUCGAUAUCCUUGAGAGACUGGUUUCAGGACCUCUCCUGGAUUCCCAAAUCCAUGGAUGUUCAACACUUUAUACAAAGUGGAUAUUUGUAUAACCUAUACAUAUUUUUGGUACAUUUUGAAUCACUUCUAAAUUACUUAUAAACAUAGUACAAUGUAAAUUAUAUGAAACUAGUUGUUAUACUGUAUUGUUUAGGAAAUAAUGACAAGAAGAAAUGUCUAUACAUUUUCAGUAUAAAUGCAGUUUUUAAAAUAUUUUAGUUACAUAUGGACACAAUACCUUUAUUUUAUUUGUUUGUUUUAUCUAUUUUUUUAAAAUGUGAGACUGAGGAUCAAACCCAGUUCCUCACAUAUGCUAGGCGAGUGCUCUACCACUGAUCCACCACCCCAUCCCAUAAAUGCAGUUUUUUUAAAAAAAUAUUUUUAUUUUUUGUAGUUGUCAAUGAACAGCAUGCCUUUAUUUUGUUUGUUUAUUUUAUGCAGUGUAAGGGUCAAACCCUGUGCCUCACACAUGCUAGGCAAACACUCUGCCACUGAGCUAUAGCCCCAGGCCUCAAAGCAGUUUUUUUUUUUAAAAAGUUUUUGAUCCUCAACUGGUUGAACUAUGGAUAUAGGAGGCCAGCUGAAUCAGUCAGGAUAGACUACAGUAGGCUAUGAUAGUUAUUAACCCCCAAAUUUCAAUGGCUUAAAAUCAAAAAGGUCUGUGUUUUGCUCACAUUAUAUGACAAUGAUAGUUUGGUUGAGGACUCUUCUUAAUGGAGAAAACACCAUCAUGGGCAUUAUUGUUUGUCCUAUCAGAGAGACAUAUCUCAGGCUCGUCUCUCAGUAGCAUUAAAUGCUCCACCCAGAAAUGUCACAAACUCCUUCCAUGUACACUCUUUGGUCAGGACUAGUCACUUGAGCAGGAAGUGCAAUCCUGCAGGUGCCCAGAAGGUGGAGAGCCAGAAGUCAUUGGUGAGCAGUGCAAAUGACUACUAGACUCUACAAAAUUGACACCAUCAACUUUAUUUCUCAGCAAUACUUAUGAGGUGAGUUCAAAGCCAAAUAGAAAAUAUGGAGUGGAAUUUGAGAUUUUUUUGUUUUCUUGGGUAGGCUCAGGACCCUAUUUUUUUUUUUUGUUUUGCCUUUUUUUUUUUUUAAUUUAAUGAGGCUAGAUGGUAUAUGGCAUUCAACUUGGUGGUUAAAAGCCUGGAAUCUGGAUGGUAUCCAGACCUUCAGCUCUGCCACUUACCAGAUGUGUGAGCUGGGCAAGUAAAGACCAUUAUGUACUUGUUGAUUGAUUGUAUGUCCUCCUCUGAGAAGUGUCUGUUCAGGUCCUUGGCCCAUUUGUUGAUUGGGUUAUUUGUUAUCUUAUUGUCUAAUUUUUUGAGUUCUUUGUAUACUCUGGAUAUUAGGGCUCUAUCUGAAGUGUGAGGAGUAAAAAUUUGUUCCCAUGAUGUAGACUCCCUAUUUACCUCUCUUAUUGUUUCUCUUGCUGAGAAUAAACUUUUUUAGUUUAAGUAAGUCCCAUUUGUUGAUUGGGUUAUUUGUUAUCUUAUUGUCUAAUUUUUUGAGUUCUUUGUAUACUCUGGAUAUUAGGGCUCUAUCUGAAGUGUGAGGAGUAAAAAUUUGUUCCCAUGAUGUAGACUCCCUAUUUACCUCUCUUAUUGUUUCUCUUGCUGAGAAUAAACUUUUUUAGUUUAAGUAAGUCCCAUUUGUUGAUUCUUGUUAAUAACUCUUGUGCUAUGGGUAUCCUAUUAAGGAAUUUUGAGCCCGACCCCACAAUAUGUAGAUCGGAGCCAACUUUUUCUUCUAUCAGGCGCAGAGUCUCUGAUUUGAUAUCCAGCUCCUUGAUCCAUUUUGAGUUAACUUUUGUGCAUGGCAAGAGGAGGGGAUUCAGUUUCAUUUUGUUNACCCAGCUAUUGCCCUUCUCAGACUAUUCCCUGAAGACCUUAAAGGAGCGUACUACAGUGAUACAGCCAUAUCGAUGUUCAUAGCAGCACAAUUCACAAUAGCUAGACUGUGGAACCAACCCAGAUGCCCUUCAAUAGAUGAAUGAAUUAAAAAAAAAUGUGGCAUUUAUACACCAUGGAGUAUUAUGCAGCACUAAAAAAUGACAAAAUCAUGGAAUUUGCAGGGAAAUGGAUGGCACUAGAGCAGAUUAUGCUACGUGAAGCUAGCCAAUCCCUAAAAAACAAAUGCCAAAUGUCUUAUUUGAUAUAAUGAGAGCAACUAAGAACAGAGCAGGGAGGAAGAGCAUCAGGAAAAGACUAACAUUAAACAGAGACCUGAGGUGGGAGGGAAAGGGAGAGAAAAGGGAAAUUGCAUGGAAAUGGAAGGAGACCCUCAUUGUUACACAAAAUUACAUAUAAGAGGUUGUGAGGGGAAUGGGAAAAUAAACAAGGAGAGAAAUGAAUUACAGUAGAUGGGGUAGAGAGAGAAGAUGGGAAGGGAGGGGAGGGGGGAUAGUAGAGGAUAGGAAAGGUAGCAGAAUACAACAGUUACUAAUAUGGCAUUAUGUAAAAAUAUGGAUGUGUAACCGAUGUGAUUCUGCAAUCUGUAUUUGGGGAAAAAAUGGGAAUUCAUAACCCACUUGAAUCUAAUAUAUGAAAUAUGAUAUGUCAAGAGCUUUG